GGCGAACGGGUGAGUAGCACGUGAGCAACCUGCCCCGAAGACUGGGACAACACCGGGAAACCGGUGCUAAUACCGGAUAUCCCUAUCGGAUCGCAUGAUCCAAUAAGGAAAUGUUUUUCGCUUCGGGAGGGGCUCGCGGCCUAUCAGCUUGUUGGUGGGGUAACGGCCCACCAAGGCAUCGACGGGUAGCUGGUCUGAGAGGACGAUCAGCCACACUGGGACUGAGACACGGCCCAGACUCCUACGGGAGGCAGCAGUGGGGAAUCUUGCGCAAUGGGCGAAAGCCUGACGCAGCAACGCCGCGUGGAGGACGAAGGCUUUCUGAGUUGUAAACUCCUUUCAGCAGGGACGAUUGUGACGGUACCUGCAGAAGAAGCACCGGCCAACUACGUGCCAGCCGCCGCGG
rnacentral:rRNA from 1 species